rnacentral:rRNA from 1 species
CAGUCGCCGCGGUAAUACGAAGGGGGCUAGCGUUGUUCGGAUUUACUGGGCGUAAAGGGCGCGUAGGCGGACUGAUAAGUCAGGGGUGAAAUCCCAAGGCUCAACCUUGGAACUGCCUUUGAUACUGUUUGUCUUGAGUUCGAGAGAGGUAAGUGGAACUGCGAGUGUAGAGGUGAAAUUCGUAGAUAUUCGCAAGAACGCCAGUGGCGAAGGCGGCUUACUGGCUCGAUACUGACGCUGAGGCGCGAAAGCGUGGGGAGCAAACAGGAUUAGAUACCCCUGUAGUCCCUGUCUCUUAUAC